GACGAACGCUGGCGGCGUGCUUAACACAUGCAAGUCGAACGGAAAGGCCCUGCUUUUGUGGGGUGCUCGAGUGGCGAACGGGUGAGUAACACGUUAGUAACCUUCCCUUUACUUUUGGAUUACUUCAGGAAACUGGGGCUAAUACCCGAUAGGAGCUCCUGCUGCCUUGUGGGGGUUGUAAAGUUUCGGCGGUUGGGGAUGGACUCGCGGCUUAUCAGCUUGUUGGUGGGGUAGUGGCUUACCAAGGCUUUGACGGGUAGCCGGCCUUAGAGGGUGACCGGCCACAUUGGGACUGAGAGACGGCCCAGACUCCUACGGGAGGCAGCAGUGGGGAAUAUUGCACAAUGGGCGGAAGCCUGAUGCAGCAACGCCGCGUGCGGGAUGACGGCCUUCGGGUUGUAAACCGCUUUCGCCUGUGACGAAGCGUGAGUGACGGUAAUGGGUAAAGAAGCACCGGCUAACUACGUG
rnacentral:rRNA from 1 species